GGAAAUGAAGCUAAUGGUGCCAAUCUUCAAUUCCUUAAGUCACAGCUACUCCUGAAGUCCAGCUGACCUUAUUUUCAUAUACAUGAAGAUUAAGCUUUGCCCAUGUGGAAAGUGAUGAGUAUUACCAUGCAGAACAAAGAAUGGGACCGAUAAACAAAGAACAAAAGGAACAAAGAAUGCCAGGCUGUUUGGCAUGGGAAAAGGAAAACAAGACUGGAGAAAGGAGAAGAAGAAAAAAGAGGACAGAAAGGAGAGGAGAAGAAAGGGAAAUGAGAAGAAAAAGACAUAUAGCAAAGAAGGUCAUAGAAGAAAAAGUGAGGAAAUGCUAAGAGUCACAGAUAUCACAGUAGUCAUUUGAAAGGGUAAAUCUGAAAUGGGCUCCUUUAAUUCAGCAGUUUCAUCAUUACUUCCACUAGAUUGAACUGCUCUGAGAAUCAUUCCCUCUGUGAUAUAUGAGCUGGGGAGGGGCGAUUAGCUAAACCCAUAUUACACAACGCCUAUGAACUCAACAAAGGUUUAGUCAUUUUAAAAGAACAACAUUGAGUUUUGAACACGGUUUUAAAAAAAUGAAUAUUCCAUGUAAGAAAAAAUGUUAAAGAUGAUAAUGAUAUAUGCUAUAAUUAUUGCUCCAUAUGUUAUCACCUUCAAGGGGAAAAUAUACACAUAUAAAGUGAGAAUAAUCCCCCA